GUCCCUUCCUCCAGGAAGCCCCUGCCCCCCGACCAGCGUAGCUAAGUAGCUUCCACUGCCGCCCCCACUCCUGCCACUCUGUCACAUUGCCCCAUUGUUUCUGUCAUUGCCCUGGUCACAGUCUGGACUUUUCUGACUUACUUGGUUUGGCACAAGAAUCCCCCACUUGCCCCCCAACCCCUGUGCCCCUUGAAGCAAGAGAUUCCCAGGUGUUUAGUGCUGUGUGACAAGCCACCUUAAAACUGAGUCAGGCCUCUGGGCAGGGCUCAGCUGGGACGGCUCAUCUCGGCUCCAGGCCUUGUUGGAGGAUCCCGAUGGCUUCACCCUCAUGCCGGCCCCGCAGCCAGACCACCGAGCUGUAACGUCAGAAGCAAGCUGUCCUGAAUCCCACAGCCACGAGGAGACGCUUCUGUCAACAAGCUGAGGGAGCUUGGAGGCGGAUCCAGGAUUUUCUUUUUCGAGUUCUGAAGUCUGCACGGAUGCUGCCCUGGAGGAAAAGGAACAUGGUCCCUCUUGUGUCUUGAGAAGACCCUCUGCUGCCUCCUGUGCAGACACACACUUUCCCCACCGCAGAAGCCAGGGCACGAGCCCGAACACGGCUGCAGGGAUCCCACUGUCCUCGCCGAGGCCACGGAGCACCUCCCGGGCACGCGGAGCCUGCCCGGCCUGCAGGCUCCUGCACACUCCCUGUUGUGGCUUAAAGGUCCCCCUGUGCCGUCCGGGGUCUUCCUGUGGAAAGAGAAGAGGAAGCCACCCUAAGAGGGCGUCUCGAGUGCUGCAUGGGGUCCUGGACGUGCAGGUUUAGCACAGCGCCUGGCACAGAGCGAGGAGCGGCGCACGACAGCUAGAAGUCCCUGUGAUUAAUCCUGAGAAAGGAACGUCCCAUCCGAAUCAGAGAGGAGGAGGACAGGCUCGCCACAGACUCGCAUCAGAAGUGGAGGCCUCCCUCCAGACUCUGUGAGAUGCUGGGCCCUGUCAGCACGGCAGGGGGACCCCGACAGGUUUAUAGGGGGGUCGGGUCCUGUUUUCCCCUCGCCUGCAGCCUAGAGAUGGUGGCCGCUGUGGCAGUGCCCAGAGACACCAGCAGAGGGCAGUGACAGCCAACAGAUCGACCAGUGCCCCAGAAAUCCCUGGAGUGGAGAGGGACAGGGGAUUUCCUGGGGCCCCAGGUGACAAGGGCUAAUCUGGUGACAUCUUGACUAUCAGUGUGACCCCAUUUAUACCCACAGGUUGGUGAGAGGUGGCAAGCGCAGGUUCCAUCAGCAGCAUUCAUGAUUCCUAUUUGCAGAAGAAAAAGUGGGACCUAGAAAGGCGUCAGGUUGGGAGGGGGGGACACCAAAAAUGCCUUGAGCGUGGCCCGUGCAGGAGCAGCAUUCGAUGCCCUCCAGGGCAGAGAGUACUCAUCCAGCAGAGCAAAUCUAACCCUUGUACGGGGUGCACAAAGCCCCCAGCCACCGGAAAAGGCCUUGGCCCUGCUCUGUCCCACCCCUGCACCAGCUCUGACCCCGAGGGUCCAGGAGCUCGGGGUGGCCAAGACAGCGGGGCAAGGAGAACGGAAGAGCAGGCUGUCAGCUCUCCAGGGACCAGGUCCCCCCAGCAGCUCUGCAAAGAGCUUCCUCCAUUCCCUCCUGGGCCCUCGUCUUUCUCGCUCUCCAGCGUUCCCCGUGCAACCUACACCCAUGUGCCCCAGAGGCCCAGACCCAGAUGUCCAGCCCCAACCUGGGGGCUGCCACCCAAAUGUCCCCCUGGCCUGAAACUCAGCAUGUCCAGACUGAACUCACCAACUUCGCCCUCCUCGUCCCACCCACGAGGUGCCCACCCCACUGCGCCCAUCCCAUCCCCCAGCCAGCUCUGCCCAGCCAGCUUUUUCUCUCCCCCCUUGGGCCAGCAGAUCUUUGAGGACACAGCCAGCCAGGGACCUCUUCUGUGUCACUUAUUCCACCCACGGGCACACUGGCAUAUUUAGUCAGAUCAUUUUGACUGCUUUUCUGCAGAGGAGAAUUUCCCUUUCUCUUGAACUCCACAACCUUUCAUUUGUUAAAUAUCUGCUGAAUGCCUUAAAAAAUACAGUUUUAUUGAGAUAUAAUGCAUAUACCAUAAACAGAUCAGCCAUUUAAAGUAUACAAUUCAAUGGUUUUUAGUAUUUUUACAGAAUUAUGCAUGAUCACCACAAUCUCAUUUUAGAGCAUUCCCAUCACCCCAAAAAGAAACCCCAUGCCCCUUAGAGGUCACUUUCCAUUCCUCCAGGCCUAAGCGACACUGAUCUCUCCCCCGUCUCUGUGGAUUUUCCUAUGCUGGUCACUUCAUACCAACGGAAUCCUACCAUCUGUGGCCUUUCGUGCCGGCUCCCUUCAUUUACCAUCAUGUGUUUGAGGUUCUGCUUUCAGACACCAGCCCUGUUGACAGCACUGAACUAGUGAGACUUUGCCCUUCGCUCACAAGCUCCCCUCAACGAAUGAAGCAGACGCAGAACAAUGACGACACCACAAAUUCCUUACAACUUUGAUACGGAGGAGUAGGGUGCGCACCAAGGAAUGCGCCAGGUCACUGUGAGGAGCAGCCGGGGAAAGCAACGAGGACGCUGCAGAAUGGGAGGGUGAGUGGGGUUAGCCAGACAAGGAGAGGCAGGAAAGGCAUCCCAAGCAGAGGGAACAGCAUGUGCAAAGGGCCUAAUGUAGGAAGGAAAUAAAAGAAGUCCUCAUGCCUGAAACCCAGAGGAAAGGAACGUGGCCCAGAAUGAGAGCCACAAGAAGUCAGUGGGGCCCGGGGAGCCCUGAAGCCUUCGGUCAGGAGUUUUGCCUUUAUCUGAAGAGCAAUGGGGAGCCAUUGAAAGUUUGAAACAGAGGAGAGAUGUCACCACAACUUUGUUUUGAAAGAUCAUACUGGAGGCAGCAGAGAGACAGGAGAGGGACACUGCAGAGCUGGUGUGGGAACCAAGCAUUUGGUGCCACUGCCUCCGAGAAGGAAGGAUGCUCCAGGAAGCAAAAGAAAACCAGAGUCAGUUCUUGGCUUUUGGGUUUCAAAAGUCUUGUCCUUACAGAGGGGAAGAGAACUCAAGGAGAGCAGAGCUGGAAGCAGCUCUGAUGAAGAGGAAAGCUUCCCAGAAAACUUGCCCUCCCACCUUGUCCAUCCCUGAGAAGGCCAGCCGGAGCACUCGGACCAGACAUCCUCCGAGCCCCGUGCUGGGGUUCCCUAGAGCCACGCUGCAUUUGUGUGAAGGCAAUGACCCCCCGCAGUUUGAUGCACAGGCCAAUCCCCUGGGAUCUUCUUAGAGCGGCUUUCUGACCAGCAGGUCUGCAGUGGGCACAGAGAUUCACAUUUCUAAUAAACCCCCAGGGGAAGCCAGAGGCUGCCAGUCCAGCGACUACACUUUGAGUAGCAGGGUUCUAGAAGAUGCUAAGGAAAGACCUAGAAUGCAGUGGCAGAAUCACAGCGGUUUGUCGACAGGCCCGAGGGCUGGCUGAAGGGUAAACGCCACCUCACCGGGGGCUUCUGGUACGUUCUCUACCUUGGAAUUAAAGUUGACUGAAAAAGCACAAAAUCACCUUUUUAAAAUGUGAAUCCCAUGUUCUUGAAUUGGAUUGUGGUCAUGAUUGUACAAGUCUGUAAAUUUACUAAAAAUCAUUGAAUUGUACACUUAGAACAGUUUUAAUUUAGGAUUAUGUAAAUGACACCUUAAUAACCCUAUUUUUUACGAACUGUGUCACACCCAGUGGCCAAAUUUGAGAUGAUCUGAACAUCAAGAACAAUAAUAAUACCAACUGUAAUUGGUUGGAACACGUUGAACAUACAAAUAUCCAGCAUCCAUGAAGACCAAGCAGUAAGCAUUUCCCUGCCCCUUCAGUUAGAACUGUCUUUCAGGAAAACCAAAUAGCUUCAGAGGAUGGAGGAAAGCUCUUUUUUUACAGCAGAAUGCAAGCUAAUGAAAUGUCGAAGGAAUGACAGAAUUGGACAAGCACCGCUUUACAGCCCCCAGGAAACGACUGACUCAGUCGGGGAGCUUCAACUUGGGGACCGGGGGAUGGAGUGAAAACCACAAUGAGAGCGACCUCGCAGCCCCCAGGCUGGCUCCAGUAAAAAGGACGCAGAGAGGAGAAUCGGAACCUUCAGACGCUGCUGGCAGGAAGGUGAAAUGGUGCAGCUGAUUUGGGAAAACAGUACAGCAGGUCUUCCACGGGACGCCUGGGCUGGCCUCUGUAGGUCAGCGCCGUGGAAGUAGUGGGCAGGGUGGUCACUGCUGGAGGUUCGAAGAGACUCGAGACACAACGACAAAAUGCAACGACUCAAUGAAGGAACCCAACGUGAAACAGCUGCUCUAACAGAUAUCUGGGGACAACUGGGGGACUGGAAUUCAGAUUGCCUCUUAGACGCUCUGCUCGGCUGGAAAUGGCCCCCAAAGCCGUCCGCACCCUCAUCCCCAGGACCCGUGAGUACGUUCCCGUCCGUGCAGAAGUGACUUUGCAGGUGUGGAGAGGGGCCCUGAGGUGGGAGAUUGUCCUGGUUCAGCCUACCCACAAGGGUCCUGCUGAGAGGGCAGCAGGAGGGGCCGAGAGAAGGAGGAGAUGUGUCAACAGAAGCAGGUCAGAGAGACGUGACCUUCCUGGCUUUGAGGGUCAGGAAAGGCAGCCGUGAGCCAAGGAAUGCAGUGCCUCCAGCAGCCGGAAAAAGACAAGGAAAUACAUUCUCCCCAGAGCCUCCAGCAGGAACCAGCCCUGCUGACACCGUGAUUUUAGCCUCUGAGACCCGUUUCAGGCUUCUGACCUCCCGAACUGUAAGGUAAUAAAUCUGUGUUGUUCCAAGUCACUAAAUCUAUGGCCGUUUGUGACAGUGGCCAUAGGAAAAUAACACAGAUGCUAUCUGGGAAUUAUUGUUCAUUUGUUGGGGUGUGAUGACGGCACCGCAUUUAGCAGGAGAAUGCCCUCAUCCCGAGAAGAUGCAGACCACAGCAUUUAGGGGGGAAGUGUCGUUACUCUCUACAGAGGAAGCAAGUAAAGCAAAAGUCAGCAACGCCCGGUUCUGCUGGUUCUACGCUACUGUUUCUACCUGCUUAAACUUCGC
rnacentral:lncRNA from 1 species